rnacentral:rRNA from 1 species
UACGUAGGGUGCAAGCGUUGUCCGGAAUUAUUGGGCGUAAAGAGCUCGUAGGCGGUUUGUCGCGUCUGCCGUGAAAAUUCGAGGCUCAACCUCGAACUUGCGGUGGGUACGGGCAGACUAGAGUGUGGUAGGGGAGACUGGAAUUCCUGGUGUAGCGGUGAAAUGCGCAGAUAUCAGGAGGAACACCGAUGGCGAAGGCAGGUCUCUGGGCUGUAACUGACGCUGAGGAGCGAAAGCAUGGGGAGCGAACAGG